UUUGUAUUUGAAGAAAUUCCCAAUGAACGAAAUUCAAUUGCGCGAAUAUUUAAAUGGUUUUGAGUCAUUGGGUUUCCCUCAAGUGUUAGGAGCUAUAGAUGGUUGUCAUAUAGAAGUUCGCCCAGCUGCAGAAGAUGCUGUUGACUACUACAAUUACAAAGGCUGGUAUUCCACAGUUCUUUUGGCUUUAGUAGAUGCAAGAUGUCGCUUUAUAUACAUCAACGUUGGUAGUCCAGGCCGUUGUAAUGACUCUUCAAUAUUUGAGAGAUCAUCUUUAAAAUGCGAGUUGGCACAAUCUACUAUAUUUAAAGACAUGAGUAAACAAAUAUCGUCAGUUAAUGUUCCAGUCGUUUUGUUGGGCGACUCUACGUUCAAAUUUGAUGAACAUUUGAUGAAACCGUACCCAUUUUGUGUAAACCAACCUUUGGAUAAAAAAAAAUUCAACUAUGUUCUCUCGAAAUGCCGAAGAGUGGUGGAGAAUGCUUUCGGUCAUUUAAAGGGAAGGUUUAGACGGGUUGGAAAAGGCUUGGAUAACCACAUGGCCAACACGAAAAUCGUCAUAAAAGCGUGCUGCGUUUUGCACAACUUUUUAAAUGAAAAACCGAAAACGAAUCUCGGCAGUUGCCAGAAGACGUCUCUAACAUUUGUGGAAAUGUCAACCCAAGAGCAGAGGAAAUAAGACAAGCGUUCGUUUCGUAUUUCGCAUCGCUUGACGAUGGCCGAGCGCAACCACGCGACGUAGAAGGUCCAUCGCUUGGGCUUGGGAGCGGCGGCUCUCCUUUUGUAUCGUCCUCAAUGUAAAUUGGUUCCAUGUCAACUGAAAAUAGAAGAAACAAAUAAAAGUUGGACGUAUAUUCGUGUCCAGCCAAAAGCAUCGUACAGGACAUUUCCUCGUAUAUGU